GACGAACGCUGGCGGCGUGCCUAAUACAUGCAAGUAGAACGCUGAAGAGAGGAGCUUGCUCUUCUUGGAUGAGUUGCGAACGGGUGAGUAACGCGUAGGUAACCUGCCUUGUAGCGGGGGAUAACUAUUGGAAACGAUAGCUAAUACCGCAUAACAAUGGAUGACACAUGUCAUUUAUUUGAAAGGGGCAAUUGCUCCGCUACAAGAUGGACCUGCGUUGUAUUAGCUAGUAGGUGAGGUAAUGGCUCACCUAGGCGACGAUACAUAGCCGACCUGAGAGGGUGAUCGGCCACACUGGGACUGAGACACGGCCCAGACUCCUACGGGAGGCAGCAGUAGGGAAUCUUCGGCAAUGGGGGCAACCCUGACCGAGCAACGCCGCGUGAGUGAAGAAGGUUGUCGGAUCGUAAAGCUCUGUUGUAAGUCAAGAACGGGUGUGAGAGUGGAAAGUUCACACUGUGACGGUAGCUUACCAGAAAGGGACGGCUAACUACGUG
rnacentral:rRNA from 1 species